UGGGGGAUAUUGCACAAUGGGGGAAACCCUGAUGCAGCGACGCCGCGUGUAGGAAGACGGUCCUCUGGAUUGUAAACUACUGUCUUCGGGGACGAUAAUGACGGUACCCGAGGAGGAAGCUCCGGCUAACUACGUGCCAGCAGCCGCGGUAAUACGGGGGGUGCAAGCGUUGUCCGGAAUCAUUGGGCGUAAAGCGUUCGUAGGCGGCAUAUCAAGUCUGGUGUUAAAGCCCGGGGCUCAACUCCGGUUCGGCACUGGAUACUGGUAGACUAGAAUGCGGUAGAGGUAAGGGGAAUUCCUGGUGUAGCGGUGAAAUGCGUAGAUAUCAGGAGGAACAUCGGUGGCGAAGGCGGGUUCCUGGACAUUAACUGACGCUGAGGUACGAAGGCCAGGGUAGCGAAAG
rnacentral:rRNA from 1 species